ensembl:misc_RNA Y_RNA Y RNA
GGCUGGUCUGAAGGUAGUGAGUUAUCUCACUUGAUUGUUCACAGUUAUAGAUCAAACCUCUUGUUCUACUGUUUCCCCUCUUCUCACUACUGUACUUGACUGUCUUUG